AGUGAACGCUGGCGGUAGGCCUAACACAUGCAAGUCGAACGGCAGCACAGUAAGAGCUUGCUCUUACGGGUGGCGAGUGGCGGACGGGUGAGGAAUACAUCGGAAUCUACUUUUUCGUGGGGGAUAACGUAGGGAAACUUACGCUAAUACCGCAUACGACCUACGGGUGAAAGCAGGGGAUCUUCGGACCUUGCGUGAUUGAAUGAGCCGAUGUCGGAUUAGCUAGUUGGCGGGGUAAAGGCCCACCAAGGCGACGAUCCGUAGCUGGUCUGAGAGGAUGAUCAGCCACACUGGAACUGAGACACGGUCCAGACUCCUACGGGAGGCAGCAGUGGGGAAUAUUGGACAAUGGGCGCAAGCCUGAUCCAGCCAUACCGCGUGAGUGAAGAAGGCCUUCGGGUUGUAAAGCCCUGUUGUUGGGAAAGAAAAGCAGCAGGUUAAUACCCCGCUGUUCUGACGGUACCCAAAGAAUAAGCACCGGCUAACUUCGUG
rnacentral:rRNA from 1 species